CUUGUCAGUGAUGUUUUAUCCAAUGUUAUUUGAGUUUCAUUGACCAUGAGAAUACUUUACAUGCACUACCAUCUGAGACAUG